AUUGAACGCUGGCGGCAUGCCUUACACAUGCAAGUCGAACGGUAACGGGUCCUUCGGGAUGCCGACGAGUGGCGAACGGGUGAGUAAUAUAUCGGAACGUGCCCAGUAGUGGGGGAUAACUGCUCGAAAGAGCAGCUAAUACCGCAUACGACCUGAGGGUGAAAGGGGGGGAUCGCAAGACCUCUCGCUAUUGGAGCGGCCGAUAUCAGAUUAGCUAGUUGGUGGGGUAAAGGCCUACCAAGGCAACGAUCUGUAGUUGGUCUGAGAGGACGACCAGCCACACUGGGACUGAGACACGGCCCAGACUCCUACGGGAGGCAGCAGUGGGGAAUUUGGACAAUGGGCGCAAGCCUGAUCCAGCAAUGCCGCGUGCAGGAAGAAGGCCUUCGGGUUGUAAACUGCUUUUGUCAGGGAAGAAAUCUUCUGGGCUAAUACCCCGGGAGGAUGACGGUACCUGAAGAAUAAGACACCGGCUAACACGUGCCAGCAGCCGCAGU
rnacentral:rRNA from 1 species